rnacentral:ncRNA from 1 species
AGUAAUUUCUGUGUGUCGGUGUUUCUGCUUGAGCCAUUUGCGUGGUUAGGAUUUGUCGCCUAAUGAGAUUCUCUUAGCUCUGUUUGUGGCUUUUUUAGGCUACGCACAAUGGGGUAACGCUCAUUUGGG